CCUACGGGAGACUGCAGUGAGGAAUAUUGGUCAAUGGACGAGAGUCUGAACCAGCCAAGUAGCGUGAAGGAUGACUGCCCUAUGGGUUGUAAACUUCUUUUAUAUGGGAAUAAAACGUUCCACGUGUGGGAUUUUGUAUGUACCAUAUGAAUAAGGAUCGGCUAACUCCGUGCCAGCAGCCGCGGUAAUACGGAGGAUCCGAGCGUUAUCCGGAUUUAUUGGGUUUAAAGGGAGCGUAGGUGGAUUGUUAAGUCAGUUGUGAAAGUUUGCGGCUCAACCGUAAAAUUGCAGUUGAAACUGGCAGUCUUGAGUACAGUAGAGGUGGGCGGAAUUCGUGGUGUAGCGGUGAAAUGCUUAGAUAUCACGAAGAACUCCGAUUGCGAAGGCAGUUCACUGAACUGCAACUGACACUGAGGCUCGAAAGUGUGGGUAUCAAACAGGAUUAGAUACCCUGGUAGUC
rnacentral:rRNA from 1 species